AUACCGUUUGAGUGGUCCGACGGUCUGGAUCGAGUAUAAUUUUUUUGUCUCAUAUAAAACGAUAUCCCUGGUAAUUCGGGUCCCCAUUAGCAGCCAUGCUUUUUCCGAACGCAGUUUUCCUUUUUUCUCUCUCUCCUCUCCUCUCCUCUCCUCUCCUCAAAUCGCUCUGCUUUGAGAAAAACUUUCAUGGACCUGGAAGGAGUGGUUGGAAGGUUUGCCAGCAUGGUUGUGGCGUCUUUGAUCAGGGAAGAUAACUUCCCAUUAUAUGAUGUUAUGAUUCAUGAUUAUAAAGAAGAUCUCAAAACUACCCAGCGAAUACUCGAACGGAUGUUAUUAAUGAUUGCAUCCUGAAGUUGUGCCGGGCUCUUGUUCACUCAACAGGCAAAGAAAAUGUCAAGGAAGGAAUACAAAAGCUUGAAGACGGUUAUAGGGGCGUACUGGGUGUACUUAGCCCACUUCAAAAGAGGGAUAUGCUUUAUCUUCUCGCAGUUGCAUAUUACAGAGAUGGUGACUAUUCAAGGAGCUUAUCUUACUUGAAUCAGUGUUUGGAGGUUUGAUGCCACGCCUUUACAUGUUAACCAUUAAUAGUUAUCUGGAUCAAAAAGAACCAGUAAUUUAUCUUUUUAUCUGUAAUGCUUACUUCUAAGGUUAGGACUGGUGGAGUGCUGUAGAAGCAUUAAUAGCUUAGUUACAAACGACCUGGACCCCAUGUCGUGUGUAGUCGGUGUCGAAACCUCUGGUUGCAGUAAAACUUCUUUUGAAUUGAUCUUUUUCAUGGCACCGUUGAUCUUCCAAAAAGCAUCUUAGUUUACCUUGAAUCUUCAGCCGUACUCUUUUUGUAUGUGAAUUUUUUGACUUGGCAUGCCAAUCUGGUUAUAGUACAUAAAUGUGCAUAAACGAGGUAUUAAUAAGACUAUGAUUGAAUUUGGUUUGUUGGUUGCACCACACUUCAACCAAGCUUUAACCCUGAAGAAAAAAUUCGGAUCGGUUCUCUGGUUUCUCGUUGGUGGACCUCACCAAUAUUAUCUUGAUAUGAUUCUUGUAAGUUUUUGUCUACCAAGUAAGUUGUUAUCAAUUUACCAUUUCAGAGUUUAUGCCUCGUUUCCUAUCCAAUCUUUCUUUUUCAUGUUACCACCAAAUUGUUGUGUAUGACUAUAAUGGAUAAUGGCGUUGCACCUAAUCUGAACACAUUGAAGAUAAUAACUACUGGGAGUCUUUGUUUGGGUUUAGCGAAAAUGUUCUGAAACCUACAAUGACCAUGAGAAUACUUUCGUAGUUUGCACUUGCACACCCAAUUUUGUGGUGGCAGUAUCAUUUGUUUUUAGUGCUUUAUUUAGGUUUAAGAAUAGUUGGACUUAUAAUUUGUGUCUGUAAAGUCAUGAAAGAAGUCUAAACGUCCAUAGGAACCGUAUUUUGGAAAUGUCAAAUAGUCAUAUAGACUACCAGGAGUGGCGUCUUUUUGUUCAUUAUUUUCACAUGAUGCGGAGGUGUUUGCUCAUAAAGGUGGCUAGCUGUUUCACGCAAGAGUGAAUAUCAAGUUCAAGGGUGUUCAUAUGCCUAAUACACUACUAUUCUGGGGAUUGUUUGCGGUGAGUUUUUUACGCCACAUUGUUUAGGUGGUUUUGUUCUUUCUUACAAGAUGAGUUUAGACUGGAUCCUGAAUUCAUCUCUGAUCUUUCCGGAGUUUCUACUGCUUCUGACUUGUCUUUUUUACUGACAUUUAAUUUUUACACGUGCCUUGAAGUAGGUAAGCCAAACAUUUUCUUGUACUGUCAUUUAGAAAUAUGAUUAUCUACAUUCUGACGUGAUAGAAGUUCGAUAGUGGGAAGGCUUUCUUGGGAUUGGGAAAUUUUUAAGUGCAAGAAAUGCCUUGCCAAUGAUGGAGGUUUUGCUAAUCUAGGAUGCUGAAUUAUGAGACUGUAAUACAUAUUGAACUCUUCCUAGACUUGGUGCAAGUUUGUUUGUUGUAUUCUAAUUUUCUUUAUGCAUACACAGGAUUGUGAGAGAGAUAUCGCAGAGGCCGGAGAUGAUGCUCCAGAUGAGGUUAAGAAUGAAAACAUCAUCAAGUUGUCCCGGGCUCUUGUUCACACAAGACAACCAGAAGAUGUCCAGUGAGGAAUAGCUUUGCUCGAUGCCUCUCUUGAGACAGGUGGACUGAGGGAACUUAAGAGAAGUCGACCGAGCCAACUUCAGAUCAGGGAUAUGCUUUAUAUUCGCUCACUUGGACAUUACAUAAAUCGUGACUUUAUGAAGAGCAUGAACUACGUGUGUCAAUGUUUGGUGGUUUGUUCUCCUCUUCAUGUUAUCCAUUAAUAGUAUUGUGGACUAAAAUACAUCCACAUGUAAAAUUUCUUUAUCCGUAAAGCUUUCUCGAAAGUUUGAAUGGCGGGAGUAAUAAUAUAGUCUGUCCUCCUUUAACGAAGCUCUCCUUGUAAAAGAUUGUCCAGUAGCUCGAUAUUGCAUGUUGGAGGGUUGACCCCAGUAAAAUUACGUAUCUCAAACACUAUCUGUCACAUAUAGGUUAAGUAAAAUGGUUUACUUGCUAGGGCUACUGAUAUCUAUGAACCCUAUCCUGUGAAUGAUAACUGCUGAAGCAAUAAUUUAACACACCUGUUUGCAAUAUAACUUCUACCGUUUUGAAACAGAAAUGUCUAUAGAAAUCAAUUAUAUUGUACAUCAUAUUGUACAUCUCUUGAAGUAUUCUUUGGAAUAUGACAGUGUUGUUAUUCUUGUAUUUCAAUUUACUUGCGCAAUAGGGCACAUAAACAACGAGAUAAAUAGGGUUAUGCUAGAUCCAGCUUGGUCCUAACUGUUCUGUUUAUAAUUGAUAUAUUUGAUUUAGGAUGCACCAGGCUUCUGGCAAGGUUGGUACCUGAGGUGAACAUUAUUAAAUCGGACCGAAACAGACGGAUUACUCGGCGCUCUCUUUUUUUAUGCUGCCAGUGCAGCUGUGCCGGCUAUUAUGAAAGCAAGAUCGCUUCGUAAGACAUGAUAUGGUGCAGACCCAUUCUGUGGCAUGUAAGAAAUGAUACCAGCUCAAGACCACUUUGUCUUUAUUUUUUCUGCAUGAUAAUCUCCCCUCCCCACUCUUUGUCACCUAGGUCAUCGACCCAUCCAUUAAACAUUUGUAAUUAUUUUUCUUUGCCAGCUUUGAUGGAGAUUGUGUAGAAGGCCUGUAAACUUUAUUAAUACUAUUGGAAGUAUAAUUAGAUUGUUAUAACUUAUAAUGCAGUGUUAGUUUUCCUGUCCUUGAUUAAAAA